rnacentral:lncRNA from 1 species
CACUGGCAAGGAGGUGGUAGCAGGAAAUAGGCAUGUGGUGACUUCAGUAACAGAGACGACUGCAGGGCUGACCUAAGCUUAGUAGCCUGGCUUCUCCGGGAGCUGAGGGUGAGCAUCAUGCCUGCUCCAUCUCCCUCUUUGUUGUGGAUAAGGCAGGGUCAUCAAGACAGGAGGAUAUGAGGCAGAAUCACCACACAAGCUAACCUGAUGUACAUAUGACAUUAAUCCAAUAGACUUAGGAAUAAGAUACAGGGGGUUUUCCUGAAUGAUUCGAGUAUAUCCCCAUUCAUAUUAAGAAAACAAAGUAUUGGCCAAGCGUGGUGGCUCACGCCUGUAAUCCCGGCACUUUGGAAGGCCGAGGCCAGUGGAUCACCUGAGAUGGACUCAACGACUCUCUUACCGUCCAGCUCUCAAGUCCCUUCUCUUGUGAAAAUGGAAAAGUUGAACUACAGUUGAGAUAUUAUUCCCAGGUGUUCUUUGGAACACAGGGGAUUUCUCCAAAAGGCACAGAACAAAUUGCCUCCAAACAGCCAAGAUUCCAGCAGAAGCUGGAGUAGCAGACUACUUGGAUCUUCAAAGUACCUGGCCCUGAGUCAGUUAAGGAAGAUCUUUUCUUCUCUUUUGUACAAUCCUAUGAUGAGAGCUGCAAAGUGAACUGACUAAGAGCUUCUGCCUUGAUCAUUGACCUCCCAAUCCUAAUAAUAUGUUCACUGGCCAAACUUCCUAAUCGAUUUGUCUUUUGGAUAUAACGUUCCUCCUACUGUUUGCCUGAUUGAGAAAUCUGCUACAGAACAUGACCGGUUAGCAUUCCCACCAACCCCAGUGCUACACUGACUGUCUUUCGAUGGACUUUGCUCCUUGCUGCCUCUCUGAGGUCCCAGACCUUCAGAGUGACCUUCACAGCUCUGCCUAACUUUCUGUCAUACUUCUAUCAAGAGAGACAGCUAAAUCAAUAUUUUUAAUGUGCUUUGCUGUCGGAAUUCGAUGAUCUGUCACAGUUCUUGCCCAAUACACCCCAUCAUUAUUGUUAAAAUGUUUUUAGCUUUGUUUGUAGAAUUGCUUUAACUGGUUUCAUCUCUGGGAGCUACACUUUGAAAUAUAACUUUAGCAACAUUUUACUAUACUUUUUCACAACCCAGAGCAGUACUAUUUUAUGCUUAGUGGUUAAACUAAUUCCAUAAAUCUUUUGCAACUAUCCUCUAUUCUUUUUCUUGUAAUUUUUACCUGGGAAGGUUUUUACUGAUAAUCAUCCUAUCCUGAGUCAUCCCACAAACCAAUCUGUCUCACUAAUCAUUGCUUCUAACCUACAGACUAAGCAUAACUUCUGCUAAAUGAUCUUUGAUAAGAUGCUAUGACUCUAUAAAGUCUUUGAUAUUCAUGUCUAAAUUUAAUCACUUGUAGAUUUUCAUAGAAUCAAUCUUUCACUUCUACAAUUGGGAGUAUUUAUAAGUUGUUUAUCUUAAACAGUUCCUCUAUCACGCUUUUCACGUUAAAUAAAGCAAUCCCUUCAAAUCAA